CAGGGAAAAGCUCACAGUUGGAACCUGUCUGACCUAGUCAGUCCGGAUUGUAAACUGAAAAAGUGUUUUCCAGACCAGCCGAGUAAAAAAGUUCCUUGGAAUAGGACAUCAUGGAGGGUGAGAAUCCCGUCUUUGGCUUGAGCAUGGUCUUUUGUGUUGCGCUUUAAAGAGUCAGGUUGUUUGGGAAUGCAGCCUAAAGUGGGAGGUAAAUCCCUCCUAAAGCUAAAUAUUGGCGGAAGACCGAUAGCAAACAAGUACCGUGAGGGAAAGAUGAAAAGAACUUUGAAAAGAGAGUUAAACAGUAUGUGAAAUUGCUAAAAGGGAAGCGUUUGGAGACAGACUGGUUGGUCUGAAAUCAGCCUGGACUUUGGUCUUGGUGUACUUUCGGACUAUGCCUGCCAACAGCAGUUUGGUUUGACUGAAAAAACUAGUAGUAAGGUGGCUCCUCCGGGAGUGUUAUAGACUAUUAGAAAAUCAGUUGGACUAGACUGAGGAAUGCAAUACGGCUUGCCUGAUGGCCAUGAAGGGUGGAUUCGGACCUUUGUCUGAUGAAGUUUUUCAAGGGUUGUUAGAACUGUAUUUAGGUUGUUGGCUUAAUGUCUCUAAACG
rnacentral:rRNA from 1 species